rnacentral:rRNA from 1 species
GCUCAGCCAUAAACCCAGAUAUUUAACACACAAAAAUAUCCGCCAGAGAACUACGAGCAAAACGCUUAAAACUCUAAGGACUUGGCGGUGCCUUAAACCCCCCUAGAGGAGCCUGUUCUAUAAUCGAUAAUCCACGAUUCACCCAACCAUCCCUUGCCAAUACCGCCUAUAUACCACCGUCACUAGCCUACCCUAUGAAGGACAUAAGAGUAAGCAAAAUAGCUACACACAGCUAACAAGUCAGGUCAAGGUGUAGCUAACUGAGAUGGAAGAAAUGGGCUACAUUUUCUAAAUUAGAAAUACCUCACGGAAAGAACUAUGAAACAAGUCCUACAAGCAGGAUUUAGCAGUAAACAGGGAUCAGAAUGCCCAAUUUAAGCCGGUCCUAAGGCACGC